AUGUGGCGCUGUGGAAAUUGUGAUGCGCGUCGCACAAGGUGUUUCGGACAUUUCGGAAACGCUGAACGGACACCGAACCAGUGGCGCAUAAACAAUAAGUGAAACGAUCCUGCAAGUGAUCCACGAUCAUACGAAAGCAGCUUGAUCUAGGGUUACAGGGAACCUGAAGCUUUUCCCAGGGGACUCCCUGGACAAGGUGCCAAGCCAUCACAGGGCAGGAUUGCACACACACUCACUCGCACUCUAUGGGUAAUAUAGAGAUGCCAAUCAGCCUACAACGCAUGUAAUUGGACUGGGGAGGGAAAGCAGAUUACCCCAAGGAAUCCCCCAAAGCACAGGGAGAACAUGCAAACUCUGCACACAGAGCAGAGGCAAAAACCAAAUCCCCAACUCCAGAGGGCCUUUGCACUCAUCGGUUCUUCUGCCAGAGACGUCUUCAGUUUCUGUGCUGUUGUUGAAAACCAGUUAAUCAAGAGUGGCGAGAGCUUCCAGGCAACCUUGGGGCCCUGAGGCUCUUCUACUGCUGACGAAUUGUGCUACAGGAAGUGGAACUCGCAGGAGAGAUGACACAGCUAAAAUUAACCGGCCUGUCACCUUCUGCUGAAUGACAGAGUAUAGAAAUAGUAAAAAAGAAAAGAAGGACCUGGGUUAACAUGCCUUAUCAGCUAGCAUAUUACGCACAUAAUGAGUGUUUUAUUUACAAGGCACUCAGUAGAGGAAAUAAUGGUCAGUGUGUGAACUCAUUAUUAUAAAUGUUUGUUAUUUCAGAUGGAGGGUAAAUUUCCUGUUUCUAAAUAGCUUUGUUGCAAGAAAGCGCAUUGAAGUUGGCCCUCCAUUGUUUGAAAUAAACAGUUUCGUGUCUUUAUGGUCAGUGAUGGAAGUAAAUGAGACUGGCUUUAAUCUUCAAUUUUUUUUAUUUCCGACUCAGUGAUUUGUCAAUGCUGAACAGGCCUUAGAACUACAGCACUGGCCAGUUGUUCAUUAACUCUCAUGAUUUAAUCCAUAAACCUGUGCCAACAACUCCUUCAUUGGAGCAGUGAAACAGCUUCUCAUAAGCGUAUCCCGAUCAACACUGCAUCUGUUGCAGUAUGCCAAGUUCACUAUGGCAAUUAAUCCCAUAUCCUGCUACUGUGUUAAGCAUGUCUGAGCACGUUUUCCACAUAAGCCUUGCGAUUCUUUCAACUAGACUGGAAUUUAUGCCAUGCUACGUGCCUUUUGAGAUUCAGUAUUAUGAAAUGUUUGUUCAUAAAGUAAGUUGUUUUCAAUUCUCACUUCCUUACAUCUUACGUCUGUCACCCACUUGUCAGGGCUCUGGUUACUUUAACCUUGUUGUUUAUCGCAUCUUCUGAUAAUAUUAUGUUACGCCAGCACUUUAUGUGCGAAACUUCUGGGUGGUUAAUGGAAACAGUAUUAUACCCAUGCUGAACUUGUGAUAAUCCAGUAGAACGUACACUCAUUAUCCACUUUACUGGGAAGUUUAAUAACUUUUAUUAUUCUCUAGCAAGGGUGGCAGGAAGAGGUAAAAGUGUGUGAACAAACACAGAGACAGCAGAAAAACGCAGAAAUGAACAUUGAUACUGCUAACAAGCUGAUACUGUAGAGUAGAAGAGCAAGACUUAUCCCCAGGGGUUUAGACAUACAGUAUACACUCACAAGACAGGUACACCUGCUCAUUUCCUUUUCCAGGAUAAAUAAUUAUAGUUUCUGAGUUUUGAAGAGGGCUUCUCGAGUUCACAGGGCAGUCAGGCUUCUCUAACAGUAAAUAAUAUCAUUUUAUCAAGUACAUUAUCAUUUAAAAUGAAUUAAAAUCCUAUGGUUUCAAUGCAUAAGAUGCCUCCUGCUGAUGGCUGACUGCGGCUCAACAUGUCUGGAAUGUCCAGCUUUAAGCCACAUGGCAUCUCAAAAUUUAUGAUAUCAGCCUAAAAAUCUGUUCCCUAGUUACAAACGAUUUUUGCUGUUCCAUACUUAUUAAGUUUAGUUUAUCAGAUUUAUACUUCAGGAAAAAAAAUCUUUCACUUUGAACCCUAAAAACUUCUAACUCUUAAAGUGAGCCCCUAAGGAACUAGGAAAAAAUCUGGUGUAACAGACUAGUUUAACUUUGUUUAAUAAAAUGUUCUUUUAGGCACCGCAUUAAUAAAUCAUAACAAAGGGCAGCAUUACAGCAGAGAAGGCAGAGUUUUGAAGUUGUCUGAUCUGAUACACACAGCCCCAGUGCCACACUUCUGGCAGUGUUGCUGUAUCCCUGGCCCAAGUUAUUUCUCAAUUCACUGAUGUGACAUUGUGGUAAUGAGCCCUCAGUGUGCUGCAUGCAGUGCCAUACUUAAACUGAGCACUAAGAGGCUUAUUGGUGUGCGAUCAGCCUGCUCCUGUUAGCAGUGUCUCUUUCCUGAGCAUAAUGUCACAGAGAGUAGCAUGCUGGGAGAAGUAGUCAUGCCAAAAGUGAUGGCAUCAGAAUUAGGAAGGGUUUGUUUUUAUUAUGCCUUGUACAUUUACACUGCAUUUCUUUUUUAGAUUUCAUUCAAUGGUUUACCAAGUCUUAAUCUUCCACUAAACAAACCGUUUGCUGUUUUUAACUGUUUAACAAAUGAACAUACUAAGCAUCUGAGCAUACUCAGCAACUAGCUGACAGCUUAUAUGACUAAUCACACCACCUAUACGCUAUGUCCAUAAGUCAGCCAUUACAGUACAUCAGGAAAACAACACUAACAUGGCUAUAGUGUAAAUAUCAGAAUAUUUACUUAGUAAAAUGACUAAUAUUCUAACACGUUCUUUGCUAUGCAAAACUUGUGCCUGUUCAUGGAUUCAUUACAGCAAGAGGAAGUCUGUGUAAAGUUCACAGGAUGUUCCAUGGUAGCUUCCCUGUAUUCACUCUCAGUGACCUCUCUUUUUCUCUGCCUGUGGCAAAAAUGUCAAAACUGAUACCUCUCAUGUCUCAUCUCAGUUCAUUUAAUACUCAUCUAUUUCCUGUUCUUUUUUUGGCACAUACACAAAGUAAAACGUUUUCCUCAGCAGGAGGUUCAUUACAGCAUUACUUGGUACUGACGUGUGCAGUUGUGCACUAACUUAUUUCCAUGUUUGCAGUUGCUAAAGUGAACAUUUGUUAUCAACUUUUAUUCACACCCUAAUAGCAGGGAUACUGUAUGCACCUUCCCUGUCUCCUCUGAGGGUUAGUUAUUAAUGACAAAUGGCAGGUCUGUUAUUAACAGACUGUGUCUGUCCUUCAAGGAUGUGACCCAAGAGAGGGAACAAAAUAAACAGAGCAGCCUGUUACGUAAUGGCUGCUCAGCUAAGCUAUGUGCCUUUAAAAGCUGUGGGAUGUCAGGUGAUCAGGCAAGCGCAGUCAUCUCAGUUCACUGAGACGUGAGUAUGUAAUCACACAAAAAGAUGAGACACUGGAGUGCAGGAGGAAGAGCGGGAAGAAGAGAAAAAGAGGCAGCUAGAUGGGCAGAGACCCAAUUAAAGGAGGGCAGAGGCAAAAGAAGGACAUGAAAGCAGAAUGAAGAGAGAGCGAUAGAAGCGAGAGGAAGAUGGCCAUGUCCGUUUAAGCGACUGCUCUCUCUUUUUAUCUCCCUCAUUUCUGACACUGUAGCACGAAUGCCGUUGUGAUGAUGCUGGGUUGAGUUUCCCAUGAAGAACAGCUUGCGUAGCCAUAACAGAGAGAGGGGAGAAAAGCCUGGAGAAUUAAAUGCUGCGUCACACUGUGCGCUAAAAAGAGGGAAAGCGUAUGAGAGAAAGAGAUGUAGAGCAGGAGAGAGAGGCAUCGUGGAAGCAUGGGUGUUUGCAGCAGAUAUCCAAUUGUUUGCUUGCAAAGUCUUUUGACGUCUAUUUGUAUGGAUGUGUAUCAAAAAAAAAACACAGCAAGUUAUUCUGCUGUUACAAGCCAAUGAAAUCAGAGUGAGCAGGAGAGGGAGGAGUGAUUGUGGAAGGAGGGAGGGUGACCAGGAGAGCAAGAGAGAGAGAGAGAGAGAGAGAGAGAGAGAGAGAGACAGAGACAGGGAGGGCAAGAUUUUUGGAUUAGUUGCUACGUCACUUUUUCACAUCGAAAGGAAAGCAGCAGCUAGGAAGACAGGAGUCCGAGUCGCAUGCUUCUCUCCUGCCCAAGAGCGGCCGUGAGUGAGCCUCAGCCCUCUGUCUACUCGUUCGCCUCUCAUCCUUCUCUUUUUCCUCUCCAUCCUCAUUCUCAACCACCCUUUUCUCUCUCUGCCUCUGACGCCCGAGUCCGCACUUUCGGAAUCGCAUCUCUGGGUUCCAACACCGAUGACGAGGAAGCUGACAUACUUUUUCUUUAUCUAUACAUAUUUAUAUAACAAUAUAUAUAUAUAUAUAAAUAUAUAUCUAUUUACGUCUGUAUGUGAUGGCGUCGAAAGCGUUUCAGCAAGCAAGCGGGCAGGUGAAGGGUUAAAGACAGAGCUCUUGUUCUAGAAGGUUCCUAUAUUCGAGGAGAAAUGUGAUGGAUAUCCUUCACAGUGUACUAAAUAGUAUCGUAACACCCACAACAUUAUUUGGACCAAUGAGGAAACAAGUGCUUACACCAUGAGCACUGUGUGUAAUUCUGUUGUAGGUGUGUGGGAUAUUAGAGAAACGUAUAUAAAAAAAAGAUAUUCUUAGUAACAUCUGAGCUUUACUUCAUCACAGCCCAGUGACAAUUCAAGCCUGUUGAGGAAGAAGUACUUCAUACUGCAUUUGGCCUGCUCAUGCGAAUAAUGCAUGUUUUGGGCUGUGGCAUGAAUAUCUUGGCUGGGGAUCAGGUACAGGUUGGUGAUGAUGAUGCAUGGGUUAAACUACUGUGAACAAGAGCUUAGCUUGUGAGGGCUACAUUUGUGAUCUUCUGGCACACACAGCAAAGUGGAAUGUGCUGGUAAAUUGGGGCGUUUUUGUUAGAAUUGGACUGCGGCUCGUCCCUGUUAGCGUGUCCCUCAGCUGCACUCGCUUCUGCAUAGCUACUGGAAGUAGUGCAUCUGAUGUGACUCAGCCAUAUCUGCUGCGUUCAGACUCUCGAGCAUGGUAUCUAUUUUCUUCUGUCAGUUCUCUCUCUCGCUCUCUCCUGAAUUGCAAGGAUGCCUUGAAAAUACAGGACUGUGCUGAAAAGGCUCUAAAUGUCACGCAGGCAGACCAGGAAGAGAGAAAGAAAGAGCGAGAGAAAUUGUUUACCUUGCUCUCUUGGUUACUGUGUUCUGGCUGGCGGCCAGUUCACAUGCGCUAAACCUCCGAAAGCAGCCACGUCAGGCACCUGAGUGACAGCUCUCUCAUCCUGUAAGGUUGUCUAAAGCGCUUUUGCAGACAGAAUUCUAUUGGACCAGCUCAAACAAACAGGUAGAGACAUCCCUGUUGUUGGCCACAAGGUAAUAUUGUCCCUUUUUUCUUUUAAGUUCUUGUUUAACGGUUAGACGGAGAGUUAAACAGAAUUCAUACUGACUAAACUAUUUUAAAAGCACUUUGCAUGAAAGCUGAAGGAUAGGUGAUUUUUUUUGUGGUAUUACUUGAUAAAUGUCUGUAUGUCUUAUGACUGGUUUGAUGAGAGCACAAGCGUGAAGCAAUACUGUUGUUGUGUUGCCAGGCACAUGGCUGUGUGUGUCUCUCUGUGUGUGUGUGUGUGUGUGAGAGUGAGAAGUGUGACGCAGUUGAUCUGUGCCUGUUGCUCUGGUGUUUAUCAGCUCCCUUUUUCCUCUGCUAGCUGACCACUGCAUAUCCUGCUUAGAGCGGUUGAAUCACUUUGCCUAUUUUUUCGCAGAGUUUUAGAACAUCCCUGUGUCAUCUUAGAUUAUGAAGGAAAGCCGAGGGAUUCUCCUCUCCCUUCACCUUAGUCUUCUCACCACUUUCUUCCAACCAUGGCAGGACACGGGUCUGCGUGGACACCAGUGACCCGCAGUGCAGCUGUUACUGCAGUCAACGCCACAGCCUGGCAUGCUGGCUUGUCGUGGUGGGCACCACGGGCAACGGAAUCAUGCCUUAGUCAUGCCUUAUAGAUGAGGCAGGCCACGGAAGAGAAUUACCCUGUGGGUGGUUUGCAAAUGGUUUUGGCCUCUGAUGUAUAUAGGAAUGAAAGCUGGUAAUUUUCACUAAUCUGCACAGGUUGUUCAUCAAACCCAUGGCAUGUGUGUGCUUGUGUGCUUUUUUCGACAUUUUGCAUUUACCUUUAAUUGUUUAGAGAUUAUCGGUGACAUGGGAACUUGAAAUUAGGAAAGACAAACUGUAUCAGGGUUAAUAUUAAGUAUUUGAUAAAUGAGCUUGGUAAAUUCCAUUCUAUUAUUUUCUUGAUCUCUGGUAAGAACUCUAUGUUUACACUAGUUUAAGGUAAUAAAUGUUAUCUACUUUGUUUAGACAUAUUGCAUACUUAGUACAGAAUAAAUUUGUUGUAUUUUAGCUCAAUGUUUUAUCUACUUAACGAGCUGUUAUGUUUUCCACAUCCUGGUCCCGUUGAUUUGAUUUUUUUUUUUCCAGAAACACUGUUCCUUUAAAUCCUUUAUAAACAUUACAUAACACACUGAGGGCCAGGCUACAACAAACAAGCCCAGCAGCGCGAGAGCAAGAGGGGGGCUAAGCUCCAGAAGCAACCAGAUACCUCCAAACAGCAACUGUCACCAAGAUCCUCUGUGCUCCGAGCCCAGGAAACUCCCUUGAACAUUGUCCCAUCCAGAAGAUAAAGCCUUCAGUGUGCCUCUCUGUCCUUCCUCCUAUUGUAGUGUCCAAAUCAAACAUGUAGUGUUUGAGCAGAUCAGAGAAGGAAGUGGAAAUAUUUUUUGGCAACUUAUACCAAUUACUUCAAUCUUCUUUAAGCAGAAAGUGUGUUCUAAACAGACACUUUACUGAGGGAACGGAAAAAAAAAAAACAAGCUAGGAGUAAAAUCAAUGGGUUAGGGUGCGGUAGGACAAAUGUCCUUUUACCUGCCAGAAUAUUUGCCACGAUUGGACGUGCUGUAUCGUGAGUUUUGGCAUUCCAAUGCAUUCAGGUAAAUGAUUCAAUCUCAGGUGUGUUAGGCAGUACCUGUCACCACACCUCUGCAGCGUCCUUACAGAAUUCUCCAUUUUCCCUAGUUCACUCCAUUUUAGGAAAAACACAUUCAACACAUAACCAGCAGCAAAUACAUAAGAGCCAGAAAGCAACAUCUUUUAGUGCACAGUGUCUCAGGUGAGCUAAACUAAUCUUUUCACCUGCUGGGAUUAGCAUUCUUUUGUAUUCUGAUAUGUAGUACAUUUUGCAAGUAGCAUGCUGAAACACACUUGAAUUCAGCGUUGUGAUGUCAAAUAGGAGCCAAAGGCACUGCCGUAGUACAGCCUUGCAUUUCAGGCCUGCCCACAAGGUUGUCUAGUUUUGCUGCCGUAGUGAUACAGAUCAUAACACUGAUUGCUGAUGCUGCUAUGUGUAUGAUUGCUGUUGAAUUUCUUAAAGAAGCAGAUGUUGCCGUUAUGUACAGAUUUUUAUAUGUCGAAUUAGGACCUGGUAAGACCUGGCUUUGAAUAGUAUUAUAUCUCAUAGAUGAUUUUUAUUUGGUGAUAUUUUAGGCCCCUGAUCAUAUAAUUCUGAUCUGUUGAUAAAAUUCAUGGUAAGAUCAUGUUCUCACAGGAAGUCUGUUGUUUGGGUUAUUAUCUCUAAGGUGAUUUUGGUUGGAAUUAUUUUUAUUGUUUACAACUAAACAAACAACAAAUUCAAGCUGCAUUUCUGAGCCUCCUUGAUCCAGUUCUGUUUUCAUAUUCAUUGAAUGCUCAGUAGUGAAAAAUGAGGCAUUGCUGGAAUGUAUUCACUUUCGUAUGAACUUUAUGGCCCUUGAUCAAGUAGAUGAAUACUUAUAAACCUGGAAUGAAUCAUAAAGAUUUUCAUUCAAGGCCAGAUUUAUCUCUAAAAAAGACUACCUGAAGAGAGUUUUUGUGGCUUGCAUGUGGCCUGACAGAAAAGCGUUUAAUAUUCAACAAAUUUUGUUUUUCAGGGAAAUUUUGUAUUAAACGCUUGUUGUGCAGUUCAUCUUUAUUUAAGCCUGCCCAUGUUAAAUUGAACAAAUGAGCUAAUAAAGAUUUUGGCUAAACUA